GCCAAUCUUAGGCUUGGCAACACUAGGGACAGUGUUGUUUAAGUCUGGGGGAGGUAGUUACUCACAUUGUUUAUUCUUUUGGAGUUUUAUCGAGUCAGUCCAAAAAGUUUUUGUUUUAUUGAGUCAAAAUUUUUGUUGGGAACUAUGAACUCAGUCUAACGGUUUCUCUGAUUUGGAUUAACACUCUUAUGACUCUUGAUUAUGCUUGAUCUCUGAAGCGAAGUUUGGAAUGACUAUGAGCUGUAUCAACAAUCCUGAAAGCCCUUAUUCAUUGGAUAUCCAGUUGAUCUAACGUUGUCUCUACUUUUAUCAGGACUUAAUUGGACUUAGUCUCCUACCUUGGGAGUUGGAAUACAUUGGACUAGACUUCUUCUUCGAGCCGCACAAGACACUGCACUUCUUCAAAGUAUGAUUCCUUCCUUCUCUCUUCCCUUCAGCCUUUAAAAGAAACUGUGGAAAAGGCUAUAGGUAGAAGUGAUAUGAGGGAUGUCGCGUAAACCCGUGCAUACUUCGGAUCUCAUGGAUACCCGAAUAAAAAAAAAGUUAUAAAAAAAACCAGAAAAAAAGAAAAAAAAAAAGAAAAAGGAAUCGUUGAAAAAAUAAAAUGAUACCCUAGAAAAGUAGGGAGAUGUCGAUUACCUUAGAAGUGAGAAAAGGGAGAAGAAGUGAAAUCAUACGAAGAAUGUCUUGGUUCGAGAAGAGUCCAUAUGCCAUUGAUCGAUAUUCCCUCGGUA
rnacentral:lncRNA from 1 species